rnacentral:rRNA from 1 species
UUAUAAGAGACAGCAGUCGCCGCGGUAAUACAGAGGGUGCGAGCGUUAAUCGGAUUUACUGGGCGUAAAGCGUGCGUAGGCGGCUUCUUAAGUCGGAUGUGAAAUCCCUGAGCUUAACUUAGGAAUUGCAUUCGAUACUGGGAAGCUAGAGUAUGGGAGAGGAUGGUAGAAUUCCAGGUGUAGCGGUGAAAUGCGUAGAGAUCUGGAGGAAUACCGAUGGCGAAGGCAGCCAUCUGGCCUAAUACUGACGCUGAGGUACGAAAGCAUGGGGAGCAAACAGGAUUAGAUACCCCAGUAGUCCCUGUCUCUUAUAC